GAGUAACACGUGGAUAACCUGCCUCAAGGCUGGGGAUAACAUUUGGAAACAGAUGCUAAUACCGAUAAAACUUAGUAUCGCAUGAUACAAAGUUGAAAGGCGCUACGGCGUCACCUAGAGAUGGGUCCGCGGUGCAUUAGUUAGUUGGUGGGGUAAAGGCCUACCAAGACAAUGAUGCAUAGCCGAGUUGAGAGACUGAUCGGCCACAUUGGGACUGAGACACGGCCCAAACUCCUACGGGAGGCUGCAGUAGGGAAUCUUCCACAAUGGGCGAAAGCCUGAUGGAGCAACGCCGCGUGUGUGAUGAAGGCUUUAGGGUCGUAAAGCACUGUUGUAUGGGAAGAAAUGCUAGAAUAGGGAAUGAUUCUAGUUCGACGGUACCAUACCAGAAAGGGACGGCUAAAUACGUG
rnacentral:rRNA from 1 species